GGACUACAAGGGUUUCUAAUCCUGUUUGCUACCCACGCUUUCGUGCCUCAGCGUCAGUUACGGUCCAGAAAGCCGUUUACACCACAGGUGUUCCUCCUGAUAUCUACGCAUUUCACCGCUACACCAGGAAUUCCACUUUCCUCUCCCGCACUCUAGCCUCUCAGUAUCCGGCGCACCCUCCCAGUUGAGCCAGGAGAUUUCACACCAGACUUAAAAAGCCGCCUACGCACCCUUUACGCCCAGUAACUCCGAACAACGCUUGCUGCCUACGUAUUACCGCGGCUGCUGGCAC
rnacentral:rRNA from 1 species